rnacentral:lncRNA from 13 species
GAUGCCAGGCCCCUUGUUAAGUUCUUGAAAAUUUCACACGGUAACUGCUGCGCAUUCAACCAGGCACGGGGCUCCUUGACCCUACUCAGGUCCUGGCCCUGACUUGCUUGCAGGACUGUGGUCUAGGUAAGGGGCUGGGACCCUCCAUCACAAAGGGUGCUUCUUGCUUUUCAUCAUCAGUGUCAUUUGCCUUCUUCAGGGCUUCUGGAUAGAUCUGCAUCACCACCCUAGGAUUGCUCAUCAUCCUCAAGCUUGAAAACCCACCUAUAAUCAUUCGUGGGACAUCUUUAGGCACCCAGGUGAACUUGGUCUGCAGGCGGCAGCUGUCCUUUUCACUGGAUCUUCCGCUGAGGUAGUAUCAGAAAGAAUGUUGUGGUUGCCCAUGGCAGAAGAUCCAACCCAAACUGAGUUAGUAAAACCAGUUUCCAACGAAUCUGCUUUGAAAAUUCCCAAGGUGAUGUCAUAUCUGCAUCCUCCAUUGUGGGGUCACCACGGCAACCUAUUAAUCAUUCUAGAAUCUACCUGUUGA